GCUUGUCUCAAAGAUUAAGCCAUGCAUGUCUAAGUAUAAACAACUUUAUACUGUAAAACUGCGAACGGCUCAUUAUAUCAGCAAUAAUUUAUUUGAUGGUUUCUUACCCCAUGGAUAACUGUGGUAAUUCUAGAGCUAAUACAUGCGUAAAGUCCCGACUCUUUCUGGGGAGGGAUGUAUUUAUUAGAUAAAAAACCAAUGCGGGUUCUGCCCGGUUUUGUGUUGAAUCACAAUAACUGCUCGAAUCGCAUGGCUUCACGCCGGCGAUGGUUCAUUCAAAUUUCUGCCCUAUCAGCUUUCGAUGGUAGGAUCGAGGCCUACCAUGGCGUUUACGGGUAACGGAGAAUUAGGGUUCGAUUCCGGAGAGGGAGCCUGAGAGAUGGCUACCACAUCCAAGGAAGGCAGCAGG
rnacentral:rRNA from 1 species